UUUUAUUGAUUUUGUAUUUGCAUUGUAUCAUAGAUCAAAUUUAUUCGUUCAGUGUAUGUUCACUUGUGUUAAUAUGUCUUUUGAUUGAGUUAAGCCAUUUCAAUUGACAUUUUAUAGUGUGUCUUUCUAUGUUGUGAUGUUACGCUAUUGUUUCAGAUAAGGGUGAAGGUUUGGUACCAUUAAAACGUUUAAACCCGC